rnacentral:lncRNA from 1 species
AGCCCCUCUGCAGGACAAGGCGUGUGACAGCGCUGUGCAGAGGGGGCAACUCUUCCCUGGUGGCAGCGACUGUGCAAGUGCGGGGGUGCCGUGGAAGGGAAGCCCUGUGAGCGUCAGGGAGACUCUCUCACAGAGGCCGUGCUGCGAUGGAGUCCCCCACUUAGCAGAACGAGGCUGAGGGACAGCGAGAUCUGGGGGCAUUUGCCUCCUGUGGACCGAAUCCUGCCCCCCCCCCCCCCCCGGGCUCGCUGCCUCCUGGGCCGUGGCUCUGCCCUCUCUCCUACGCGGCAGGUGCUCGCCGUGCACCUGGGACAGCUGCCCAAGUCCGCUGCCGCCCUGGCUUCUUCCCCGAGUCGGGUGAAUCGUGGGGUCUCUCACGCUCCUUUCAGCUGGGAUUCUGUCCUCCUGAGGACGUCAGCAGUGCAAGGCGACAGCUGGUUCUUUCAUGGACAGAGAGGGGUGGCGCCGCCACAGCCUUAUCUCCUCUCGCCAGACCUCACCUCUCCCAGAGCCCACCGCCUCUCCACCACGCACAGACCGUCUCAGGACAAAGCACAGGCAACCACAGCAGGAGGCACCUGUGGUCCUCCGGCCCAGGUCAGGGGCCGACCGAAUCCAGCUGCAGCUCCCGAGGCCCCGGGCUCCUUCUCCCCAUGCACCCUGGAUGCACGGUUUGUUUGCACUGAGACGCCUACCCUGCCUCACCUCAGCCUGCCCUGACCCCCGGUUGCUUCUUGGCCCUCGGGAUUCCAGGUUUGCAGGCAGGUUUUGCACAGUCACUGUUGCUGGAGGAUUCCUGUGUGCUAGCCGCAUCUCCCAGCCCCAGCGUAAGGUCCACAAACACAGGCCCUCUGCCCCUGUGGCUCUGUUCGCCCCGGCACCCACGGCCGCGCCGAGCCGUGGAAUGAACCAAUCUUCUCGUCCAGGUGCACAGGGUCGCUUUCACUGA